CCUACGGGAGGCAGCAGUGAGGAAUCUUGGUCAAUGGACGAGAGUCUGAACCAGCCAAGUAGCGUGAAGGAUGACUGCCCUAUGGGUUGUAAACUUCUUUUAUAAAGGAAUAAAACGAGGCACGUGUGCCUUUUUGCAUGUACUUUAUGAAUAAGGAUCGGCUAACUCCGUGCCAGCAGCCGCGGUAAUACGGAGGAUCCGAGCGUUAUCCGGUUUUAGUGGGUUUAAAGGGAGCGUAGAUGGGUUGUUAAGUCAGUUGUGAAAGUUUGCGGCUCAACCGUAAAAUUGCAAUUGAUACUGGCAGUCUUGAGUACAGUUGAGGUAGGCGGAAUUCGUGGUGUAGCGGUGAAAUGCUUAGAUAUCACGAAGAACCCCGAUUGCGAAGGCAGCUUACUAAGCUGUGACUGACAUUGAUGCUCGAAAGUAUGGGUAUCAAACAGGAUUAGAUACCCCUGUAGUC
rnacentral:rRNA from 1 species